ACGAACGCUGGCGGCGUGCUUAACACAUGCAAGUCGAACGGAAAGGCCCUGCUUUUGUGGGGUGCUCGAGUGGCGAACGGGUGAGUAACACGUGAGUAACCUGCCCUUGACUUUGGGUUAACUUCAGGAAACUGGGGCUAAUACCGGAUAGGAGCUCCUGCUGCAUGGGGGGGGUUGGAAAGUUUCGGCGGUUGGGGAUGGACUCGCGGCUUAUCAGCUUGUUGGUGGGGUAGUGGCUUACCAAGGCUUUGACGGGUAGCCGGCCUGAGAGGGUGACCGGCCACAUUGGGACUGAGAUACGGCCCAGACUCCUACGGGAGGCAGCAGUGGGGAAUAUUGCACAAUGGGCGGAAGCCUGAUGCAGCAACGCCGCGUGCGGGAUGACGGCCUUCGGGUUGUAAACCGCUUUCGCCUGUGACGAAGCGUGAGUGACGGUAAUGGGUAAAGAAGCACCGGCUAACUACGUG
rnacentral:rRNA from 1 species